rnacentral:rRNA from 1 species
UACAGAGGGGGCAAGCGUUAUUCGGAAUUAUUGGGCGUAAAGGGCGCGUAGGCGGCCUGGCAAGUGGAAGGUGAAAUCCCUCGGCUUAACCGAGGAACUACCUCCCAAACUGCUUGGCUCGAGUCCGGAAGAGGCGAGUGGAAUUCCCGGUGUAGCGGUGAAAUGCGCAGAUAUCGGGAGGAACACCAAUGGCGAAGGCAGCUCGCUGGGACGUGACUGACGCUGAGACGCGAAAGCGUGGGGAGCAAACAGG